UGCUUCUUUUGGCAACACUAUAUUCUGAACUUGGAAUGAUAUAGAGAAGAGUAGCAUGACUCUUGAGCAAGGAUGGCAUGCAAAUUCAUGAAGUAUUCCAUAUAUAA